AAAUUUUUUAAGUUGUGCCUAUUAAAGAUCUUUCUAUAAUUAUGAUUGAUUGGAAAAUAUCUAUCUAUAAGUGAUAAGAAAUGUCUAUCUAUAUUAAAGGUCAUUUCGGCGGAGUAAGGUGGUGUGAACCAGAUAAUUUUCCUAUUCCUAUUUUUCCUUUUCUUUGUUACAGGACUAAUAACAGGUGUAUAAGUUAUUUCCUCCCUAGAACCACUAUCUUUUAGGGCUUUGUUAUAUAUUGGGGCAACACUAUAAAAAUGUUUAUAUCGGAGGAAUUCUCUUGCUUAUGUUUUCAACUAAAUUCUUGGGAACACUAUGGUGGGGGGAUGGCAGGAACCUACAUUAAUAUAGCUAAGUCUAUCGUUGGGUUUUCUAUAGGGUUUAUAAAUAUUCUUAUUUAAAUCUAAAGAUACAUCUAGGACAUUGUCAAGCUUCAGGUUGGUAUCUCUUGUUAUGCUAAGAUCGAAUGUUUUCAUUAUUUGGAUAAUGUCCUUCGUAAACUGAUCUUGUGCUGCUCCAACUAAUUGUCACAUAUUAUAUUUAUAGAUAAAUUCCUCUAUUUUACAUAAUAUUGAGAUCUCAUUCUUUUAUUGCCAUAUUAUUAUUAAUCACCAUCAUUAUCGUUUUUUAUAUAUACUAGAUUAGAAUUUUGUUUUACAUAAGGUUCAUGAAGUCCAUUCAGUAUUGAGGUUUCAAUUAACAUCUAGGUAAUUAACAGAGUAAUUCUCAUUUUCAAUAGUGAUUGAUAAUCCGAAACCCUUAAAAGAUUUGUGCAGUUGUUUCUUGUGUAUUUCCAGACUUCUGCUAGAUAUGUUCUUAACUAAAAACAAAGCGUUGUCUCUAUAGAAGCCGCCAUUCAAUUUAGGAAAUUCUCUACUUAGAUUAUCUAAUAAAUAAAUCCCUUCUAAAUCGGUCGUUUCUGCUGAAUCUGGCGAACCCAUUGUAAUAUCAAACAAAACGGGCGUAUCCUUCCUAGCCCAUAAUUUAUUAUUGAAUUCUAUAACCGUUUUUCUUGCUGCCAAAAUAACCUUAAUUUCUUUCAUGCUAAUGUUGGUGUGUCUUCUAGCAAAAAUUAAAGCUUGGUUAAGAAUUAUAGGAUUAAUAGAUGAGUAAUAAUUUUAGAUAUCGAAUUGGAUAAAUUUAUGGUUACUACCGUUAUUUACCUUAAUACCUGAGAAUCAAUCCAAUGCAUCCUGUGUAUUUUUCCAUAGAUUGAGCUUUAUUUUAUUUCUAAUAAUGGGUAAAUAUUUAUCAAGGAUUAAUUUACUUAAUUUACCUAAGUCUGAUUUACGAGGACAGAUUAAUCUAACUUGCGUAUUAUUAGGGAAAUUAUCUUUAUGGUCCUUAAUCGCUUUUUUGCAACCCUUGUCUGAGCUUAAUUCUUGGAUAUUCAAUUUGAAGUCCUCAUUAAAGGUUGUUCUGUAAAAACUUGGCUUGAGAAUUCUCUGAGUUCAGUAAACACAUAUUUGGCCAAAUAAUGGCUUAUAAAUGCCCAAUAGUCAGUCACUUUGUGGUCCCCCUAAAAUCGCUUUGCAGUUCCCUAGAGGACCGUGGACUCCAGUUUGAGAUCCUAUUAUUAAAGGAGGAAAUGAUGGUGGCUAAAUUGUGAGUAAGGCUAUACCCUAUUCUAAUAGUUUUAUUGUUAAUUAUUUGACAAAAUUUAUUCUUACCCUUCACAAAGUGCUUGUACAAUAAAUUAUGGAUUAUUCUAACUAUAUCCGUUUUAAUUUGCAUUGCAUAUGGGAUUAUCAGCCAUAGUGCAUCAUUAUCACUAUGUGGGUUACCUAUCAAAUUCGUAUUGUCGGCAAAAACUCUGUUCCUCUUCCAACCCAUAUGCCCUCUACGAUUAAUAUUACCAAGAUUAUGACUAAAAUCAUUGUUAAAAUUGGUUUUAUUAUUAUUAUUACAGUGUAAAUAAGUUUUUCUGUUAUCGUAGAUAAUAUCAUUAUUAGAUAGUAGGUGCAAUUUGAAAGAGAUUUAACUGCUCUUUCUUUCAUGCCAAAUGAGUUCUCAAAGAACCCAUUGCUCACUUGUAAUCUUCUUUGGUUAAUGUUCAUACUAAUGCUUAUAUUCUGAGCUUAUCCACUGAAGAAGACGAUGAUGAUGAUCACCGCACUUUAGAUUAAGACAGUGAAAAUGUUACCUGUAUGUGCAACUUUAUAAUUGCCAUUGUGAUAAAAGAUCUAUCAUAUUCAAAGCAGAAUCAUUUGUUAAUAAACACUCGGAAAAAACAUGCUAAUGUUACCGGUGUGUCUAAUUUCACAAUUAUUGCAAUUGUGGUAACAAGAACUUUCACAUGCUGUUGUUGUAAUAAAACUUAUCAUAUUACAAGUCGUACCUUCUGUCGAGACUCAUCAGGUAAAAAAAAAAGUGGAAAAUGUUUCCCUUGUGCCCAACUUCAUAACUUUUGCCAUUUUGGUAAGAAGAUCCUUUAUGUCACGAGUCAAAUCUUCUGGCAGGAUGCUUCGGAU